GAGAGCUUUGUCAUUGUGCAUUUAUACUUUUUUUCCCCUUUAUGCCUGCUGCACCAAACUUGGCUACUCCUUUUAGUACACAUCAUAGAAAAAUACAAUUAAAAUAGAAAUUCAUACUGUGUUUUCUUUCUGAAGCUCUCGCUGGCCCAUACAGCAGUGCUGCAAAAUUUCAGCGUUCAGAAAAGAAUCGAGGAAAUACUGUAAAGAGAUGGAGUUUGACAACGACCACUGUAUUAAGAUGAAUGAUGGGAACAAAAUUCCUGCAGUGGGAUUUGGUACCUAUUCCCCUGAUGCAGUUCAAAAAAGUAAGUGUGAGGAGGCUACAAAGGUGGCUAUUGAAGUUGGCUUCCGCCAUAUUGAUGGAGCCUUUGUAUAUGGGACUGAGGAGGAGGUUGGGCGAGCCAUUCACGAGAAGAUUGCAGAUGGAACAGUCAAAAGAGAGGACAUAUUUUACACAGGAAAGAAAGAAGAGAAAAAAGAGAACUUCUUCAGAAAGAACAGUUGUUUUUGAAUCAUUACAGCUUGGGAGUACCUUUCACCGUCCUGAACUUGUCCGAAACUGUCUGGAACAAUCGCUGAAGAAACUUAAGUUUGACUAUCUUGAUCUCUUCAUUAUCCAUAUCCCUGUGUCUCUAAAGCCUGGGCCAGAUUUAUCACCAAUGGAUGAAAAUGGAAAACUCAUUUUCGAUAUUGUAGAUCUGCGUCAAACUUGGGAGGCCAUGGAGGCAUGUAAAGAUGCAGGCUUGGUGAAGUCCAUUGGAGUGUCCAAUUUCAACCGCAGACAGCUGGAGAUGAUCCUGAACAAACCAGGGCUCAAGUACAAACCUGUUCUCAACCAGGUUGAAUGUCACCCUUACCUCAACCAAAGCAAACUGCUGGCCUUCUGCAAAUCCAAGGAUAUCCUCCUUGAAGCCUAUUGUGCUCUGGGCUCACAGAGAGACAAGAUGUGGAUAGACCAAAGCACCCCAGUUCUGCUGGAGGACCCAGUACUGGGUGCAAUUGCCAAAAAAUACAACCGAAGCCCCGCUCUAGUAGCCCUGCGCUACCAGCUGCAGCGUGGUAUCGUGGUCCUCUUUAAGAGCUUCACCAGAAAGCGUAUUGAAGAAAACUUCCAGGUUUUUGACUUCCAGCUCUCUGAGGAGGAUAUGAAAACCAUUGAUGGGCUGAACAAAAACCUUCGCUACCUGAACUUAAUACAGCUAUCAACACCACCCGCUUGCUGAACCCAACAACUAAAACCAGACUGAAGCAUUACAGCCCACAGGAGACCAGGACAGAAGACUUGUGGACCACCCUCAGUUUCCAUUUAAAGAUGAAUAAUGGAAAGGAUGCUUUCAAUGUUCCUGAUUUUAUUUCGUAUAUGAGGUAUCAGACACACAUUUCAUCUCCUUGCUCCAUUCCAGUGACUAGUCCCAGAGAAGCGCCCUGUUCUGGAAGUCCAGCUAGUGCUGGUGAUAUCAAGAGAUCUACACUGUACAUUAAACAGAAAUUCAAAACAACUCAGUCUCUGAAUGGAAUGGUUCUGGAUUGCUAAUGGGGGAAAAUAAAGGUGUCUGUGUAAUGCA